UACAGAGGAUGCGAGCGUUGUCCGGAAUCACUGGGCGUAAAGGGCGCGUAGGUGGUGGCUUAAGCGUGCGGUGAAAGCUCGGAGCUCAACUCCGAGUCGGCCGUGCGAACUGGGCUCACUGGAGCAUAGUAGAGGCAGGUGGAAUUCCGGGUGUAGCGGUGGAAUGCGUAGAGAUCCGGAAGAACACCGGUGGCGAAGGCGGCCUGCUGGGCUAUGGCUGACACUGAGGCGCGACAGCGUGGGGAGCAAACAGG
rnacentral:rRNA from 1 species